UGUAAGCGUAUACCAAAGUUGUUGCAGUUAAAACGCUCGUAGUCGGAAUUUGGCAGUUCCGGAUGUGUGCACGUCGUGUGCGCACUUCGCGGGGAUUGCUUUUGUGGUCUUGCGUAGGAUGAGGCACUUUUAUUAGUGAACGUCCUCACGCAACCACUUUUUACUGUGAGAAAAUCAGAGUGCUCAAAGCAGGCAUUUGCCGUGAAUGUAUUCGCAUGGAAUAAUAGAAUAGGACUUGGUUCUAUUUUGUUGGUUUGUUGGGACUGAGUAAUGAUUAAGAGGGACAGUUGGGGGCAUUUGUAUUUCGGUGCUAGAGGUGAAAUUCUUAGAUUACCGAAAGACAAACUGCUGCGAAAGCGUCUGCCAAGGAUGUUUUCAUUGA
rnacentral:rRNA from 1 species